GGUGGCUCAGCAGUAGAGCACUUGCCUUGCAAGCAUGAGGCCCUGGGUUCGAUUCCUUAGCACCA
rnacentral:tRNA from 1 species